rnacentral:lncRNA from 1 species
UCAAUGCAGGGAACCCUCCACGCUCAUCGGUCAAACCCAAUGUUGAAUUACGGAAUGAAGCAUUGAACAAAGCUCUGCAAUGGAGGAUCUACGAUUUCGAUUGGGUCUAAGCAAAUGAUAGAGACGUUGUCUGAUAAAGACGGCCUCUGGCACUUUGAAUAGGGGAACACGAGAAUAAGGGAACGCUAGGAGAAGAAGUAGAAGAGCGAAAAUGAAAUUUGAGGAAUAGGGAAAACUUAUUCUUCCCAAAUCCCUAAUCAAAUUAACAUUGAUGCUUACCAAUAGAUCCUAAUUGUCGGUAAAGACUCAUACACCUUACCAAUGGAUUAUUGAUUGAUAUUAACACAAUUAGGCAUUUAC